rnacentral:rRNA from 1 species
AGGACGAACGCUGGCGGCGUGCUUAACACAUGCAAGUCGAACGAGGCCCUUCUCUUCGGAGAAGGUGCCCUAGUGGCGAACGGGUGAGUAACACGUGGGCAACCUGCCCCUAGCACUGGGAUAACUCCGGGAAACCGGGGCUAAUACCGGAUAUGACCUCCUUAGGCAUCUUUGGAGGUGGAAAAGAUUCUGGCUAGGGAUGGGCCCGCGGCCUAUCAGCUUGUUGGUGGGUAACGGCCCACCAAGGCUCCGACGGGUAGCCGGCCUGAGAGGGCGACCGGCCACACUGGGACUGAGACACGGCCCAGACUCCUACGGGAGGCAGCAGUGGGGAAUAUUGCACAAUGGGCGAAAGCCUGAUGCAGCGACGCCGCGUGAGGGAUGACGGCCUUGGGUUGUAACCUCUUUCAGCCUCGACGAAGCGAAAGUGACGGUAGAGGCAGAAGAAGCACCGGCCAACUACGCGCCAGCAGCCGC